CCUACGGGUGGCUGCAGUGAGGAAUAUUGGUCAAUGGACGAGAGUCUGAACCAGCCAAGUAGCGUGAAGGCUGACUGCCCUAUGGGUUGUAAACUUCUUUUAUAUGGGAAUAAAACGUUCCACGUGUGGGAUUUUGUAUGUACCAUAUGAAUAAGGAUAGGCUAACUCCGUGCCAGCAGCCGCGGUAAUACGGAGGAUCCGAGCGUUAUACGGAUUUAUUGGGUUUAAAGGGAGCGUAGGUGGAUUGUUAGGUCAGUUGUGAAAGUUUGCGGCUCAACCGUAAAAUUGCAGUUGAAACUGGCAGUCUUGAGUACAGUAGAGGUGGGCGGAAUUCGUGGUGUAGCGGUGAAAUGCUUAGAUAUCACGAAGAACUCCGAUUGCGAAGGCAGUUCACUGGACCGCAACUGACACUGAGGCUCGAAAGUGUGGGUAUCAAACAGGAUUAGAUACCCCUGUAGUC
rnacentral:rRNA from 1 species